rnacentral:lncRNA from 1 species
GUACCCCGCCGGCCUGCCGACCCGGGUCCGGGGGCCCAGUUGGCGCCCGGACCAGCUCUCCGGUCUGCGUCCUGUAGAUGGGAAAACUGAGGCCUGAGAGGGCGCGAGGGCGGGGACGAGGCCGAGGACUCGGGUUCGAAUCUCGAGGACGCCAGUAGCCCGCUCUGAGGCCGCGUGGGGCUGGUGGAGGAGCCACCGGUCGGGCCCCCAAGACCGGCUGACGUGGGCCUCGCCUCGGGCGACUCCCGCCGGGCUAGUGGCUGGCCGUGUGGUGACCUUGGGCGAGUUACUUCGCACAGCCACCCAGGGGCCUCUUCUCCAACACGAUAGCACUGCACCCGGAGGGUAGGUGAGAGAUGAGUUGGUGCUUGGAUGCCCUAGGGAGUGUCAGCGUCCUCGGUCCUCCCUGUGGUGAUCCCUUCAACGAGUACGCACUGAGCCCGUGAUGGGCCAGGUACAAUGCACAGGCUCAUUCUUCCAGGCCCACCAGCCAUGUUGGCUACACAAUUCUAUUUUUGUUUUGUUAGAGAUGGAGCCUCACUUUGUCCCCAAGGUCGGAGUGCAGUGGCGCCAUCAUAGCUCACUGUAACCUCAAAUUACUGGGCUCAAGUGAUCCUCCUGCGUCAGCCUCCCAAAGCGCUGGGACUACAGGCGUGAGCCACUGCGCCUGGCACACAAUUGGUUUAACCACCACAUCAUUUUAGCAGCUUAGGAAACUGACGUCUUGACUUCUGUUUUGGCUGCUUGAAAAUACAGUGCAAUAUAAAUCCCGAGACCUCUGCUGAGCUGGAUGUGGAGUGGGUGUGGGCAUCAUUUAGAACAUGGCAAUCCUCAGGUCACACAGGAAUGUCUUGUUAAUGAUCCUUCUGUGAACAAUGUUCCUUGGAGGGAAGUCCACUUAAGCAAGGCUGGAGCAGCAGAUGGGGCAGCUGAGCCUGGAUUACUUGCCUUGCCUCUAGAAUAGGUCUUAGAGCUUUGGACUGAAGGGGGGCCGCCUCCUUGUAUCCUGGUAUUGGUGUCAGUAUCCGUCUGCCCAUUCUUGAGAAAUGGAAAUGGUCAGAAUCUAUCCAGGUUCUGAUCUGCAUCCCUGUUGUCUAAUUUAAACUUUCAUUCCAUGGCGUUUUGGGGAGUACCUGUCUCAUGAAGAGCCCUGAGGUUACAAGGAUAAUUAGAGCCUAAAUCUAAGGAGCCCAUAUUUGGGGAAACUAUUAUGUCAAUAGCUAAUGAGAGCACAGUGUUGUAAGUGCUCAUAUUAGUUUUCUAUUCCUGCAUAACAAAUUGGCACAAAUUUUGCAGCUUAAAGCAACACCCAUUGAUUUACUCACAGUUGUGUAGGUCGGAAAACUGGCAUGGUGUGGCUGGGUUUUCUGCUCGUGGUGUCAUAGGCUGAAAUCAAGAUGUCUAGCACCUCCACGAGGGAAAGGUCUGCCCCAGGCUCCUUCGGGCUGUUGGCAGAAUUCAUGUCCCUGUAGGACUAGGAUCCCACAGCUACACUGUUUUGCCAGCUCUCUGUUGGGGACCACUCUCAGGUCCUUGCCACGUGAUCCCUUUUAUCUCAUCAACAGAGAACCUUUCUCAUGUCACUCCCUCUCAUUCUUUAAAUAUCUCUGAUUUCCCUUCUUCAACCAGUCAGAGAACACUAUGAGCUUUUAAAAGACUUGUAAUUAGGUCAGACCCACCUAGAUAAUCUUCCUACUUUAAGAUCACCUGUGCCACAUCACAUACCCUAAUCACAGGAGUAAAAUUCAUCAUAGCCACUGUCCCAGGGACUAUGCAGAAGGUGUACAUGAAGGUUAAUCUAGGAAGCUACCUUAGAAUUCUGCCUACUACGUCCAGUGAGAAAUGUUCUCUUGAACAUUUUCUCUAUGAAUUCCCCUAGCAGUUUGUUCUGUAACUCUGUCCAUGGCACCAUAUAUGUUGCCAUUAUUGGAGUAUAUUUCUAAACCUCUUUUCUAGGCUGAAAGCGUCUUGAGAUCAGGAACCUUAUUCACACCUGUAGCCUUAGAUAAGGCUUGGCAUGAGGGAGAUAUUCCCACAUCUGCUAAAAAUAAAUAAAUAUUAUGCAUAUUGUCCUUUGGAUUCCUG